rnacentral:rRNA from 1 species
AUUGAACGCCGGCGGCAGGCCUAACACAUGCAAGUCGAGCGGCAGCGGGAAAGUAGCUUGCUACUUUUGCCGGCGAGCGGCGGACGGGUGAGUAAUGCCUGGGGAUCUGCCCAGUCGAGGGGGAUAACAGUUGGAAACGACUGCUAAUACCGCAUACGCCCUACGGGGGAAAGGAGGGGACCUUCGGGCCUUUCGCGAUUGGAUGAACCCGGGUGGGAUUAGCUAGUUGGGGGGGUAAUGGCUCACCAAGGCGACGAUCCCUAGCUGGUCUGGGAGGAGGAUCAGCCACACUGGAACUGAGACACGGUCCAGACUCCUACGGGAGGCAGCAGUGGGGAAUAUUGCACAAUGGGGGAAACCCUGAUGCAGCCAUGCCGCGUGUGUGAAGAAGGCCUUCGGGUUGUAAAGCACUUUCAGCGAGGAGGAAAGGUUGGUAGCUAAUAACUGCCAGCUGUGACGUUACUCGCAGAAGAAGCACCGGCUAACUCCGUGCCAGCCGCCGCGGUAA